CCCCUAGACGUUCUGGGCUGCACGCGCGCUACAAUAAUACGCACAGCGAGUAUCACCGAGCUCGAAAGGGCAAGGUAAACAAUAGAAAAGGUACUGUAAUGGUUAUAGAUCCUUGUAAUUAUUAAUCUUCAACGAGGAAUUCCUAGUAAGUAUGUGUCAUCAUCACGCACUGAUUACGUCCCUGCCCUUUGUACACACCGCCCGUCGCUCCUACCGAUUGGGUGAGCCGAUGAAACUCUCGGAUGUAGGCUAUUCAUAGCCCGCAGAAGAGAUUUGAAUCGUAGCGCUUAGAGGAAGGAGAAGUCGUAACA
rnacentral:rRNA from 1 species